rnacentral:rRNA from 1 species
GCGUACCCAUCCCGAACACGACCGUUAAGCCCUCCAGCGCCGAUGGUACUUGGACCGCAGGGUCCUGGGAGAGUAGGACGUUGCCAAGC